CUUCAUCACCAGCAGUGUAAAAAGAAGGAGGAAAAGCAUGAAGCCGUGCAAAAGAAAAAUUUAGAAAAUAAAUGCUUCCGAUGUGGAGGGAAGGGGCAUUGGUCACGUACCUGUCGUACGCCAAAGCACCUAGUUGAGUUGUAUCAAGCCUCCCUCAAAAGGGCCGAAAAGAAUGCGGAAGCUCAUUUCUGAAGAUAAUGUUGAACUCGUGCAUCUAGAUGUGGCAGAUUUCAUUGAACAACCUGAAGGGAAAAUAGAUCAUCUGAUCGGUGAUGGAUUUGUAAUAAAUUAGAUAUUUCAUACAUGUCGUUUGUAUUAGCUAAUGUGGUUAUGUUUCCAUAGUUAUGUAAAUGAACGUGUGUAAUGCUUUGUCUAAUCAUAAUAUCUACUUCGAUGUUUACUUUGUC